rfam:Arabidopsis thaliana chromosome 1, complete sequence.
AAAUGCAUUACAGGGUAAGAUCUCUAUUGGCAGGAAACCAUUACUUAGAUCUUUGCAUCUCUUUAUGCAUUGCUUUUAAUUAGUGAGUUAUCUGCCAAAGGAGAUUUGCCCUGUAAUUCUUCU